AGUACAAACAAAAGGUAUGACUGACUUGAGUGAACUACACUACCACAGACUCGUAUCUCAAACUGCAAGCUUUUUUAUGUAUGCAUGUAGUGGCAGUAAUUGCUUUUAAAAUAAGUAUUUGUUGCGUCAAUCUCCGGUCACAAGCCGCACAGAGAACUCAAGGCCCAUAUCCACACCGGACAGUCAAAGCGCACCCAGACUGCAGGGGGCGACGAUGCGGCUAAUGGAGAUUCCACCCACAGGAAGUGCCUGCGUACGAACAGGAAGCGCAUGGCAUAACAUGUUUGGAGAGCUCAGAUGGCCCUCUCACUCGGCCCUGAGGAAAAGGACACUGUGGCCACGGCUUCUAAUCUCCCAGAGACGCAACUGACUGUCCAGAGAUCGCCACUGCCUCGAGGAUCCCCAGAAGUGGUCAAGCAGUUUCAGCCUCCUGUGACAGUAGAAAUUACCAGCAGUCUUGAGUGAACGGACGGUCCAGAGAAGACAACAGAGUCCUGCCUCGGGGUCCUAGGAGUGGCCAAGUGAGUUCAGCCUGCUGUUAAAAUUGCCAGCGGAAUGAGUUGGAGGACGAUUCAGAGAACACAACAGGCUCCUGCUUCAGGGGCAAGCAGCUUUAGCCUCCUGUGGAAAUUGCCAACUUUGCGAUUUGAGUAACGGGACGAUAAAUACAACUUUCUACAGGAUUUUUCAAAUCAUCGACCAGCUGACAGGAUUUGGCAGAAGGUAAGACUAUUUUAGCGGGGGUUAAGUGUGGGCUAGGG